GAUAAACGCUGGCGGCGUGCUUAACACAUUCAAGUCGAACGGAGUAUGUUUGGAAGCUUGCUUUUGGACAUACUUAGUGGCGGACGGGUGAGUAAUGCAUGAGCAACCUGCCUUCAAGAGGGGGAGUAACACAUGGAACGUAAUGCUAAUACCGCAUAGACGUACGGACGGCAUCGUAUGUACGGGAAAGGAGCAAUCCGCUCGAAGAUGGCUCAUGUCCGAUUAGGUUGUUGGUGAGGUAACGGCCCACCAAGCCUGCGAUCGGUAGCCGGACUGAGAGGUUGAACGGCCGACAUUGGAACUGAGAUACGGUCCAGACUCCUACGGGAGGCAGCAGUGGAGAAUAUUGGGCAAUGGGCGAAAGCCUGACCAGCGACGCCGCGUGAGGGAAGAAGGUCUUCGGAUU
rnacentral:rRNA from 1 species